UACGAAGGGGGCUAGCGUUGUUCGGAAUUACUGGGCGUAAAGGGCGCGUAGGCGGCGUGUCAAGUCAGGCGUGAAAGCCCCGGGCUCAACCUGGGAACCGCGCUUGAGACUGGCAUGCUCGAGUUCGGGAGAGGAUGGUGGAAUUCCCAGUGUAGAGGUGAAAUUCGUAGAUAUUGGGAAGAACACCGAUGGCGAAGGCAGCCAUCUGGACCGACACUGACGCUGAGGCGCGAAAGCUAGGGGAGCAAACAGG
rnacentral:rRNA from 1 species